GGUCCAUAGAAUCCCACAAAUAAGGUAAGCUAGAGCCACCCAAAUAAGAAUGUAGUAUGCACCUUGGAUUCUUCCAUUUGUGCCGCCUAACACCUUCCUCUUUUGCCCAGGCGUGUGGUGUUUAAUUAGGACCAUUGUUAGCUACUUUUGAUUCUUUCUAAGUUAGCUUCUUGUCAUCCAAAUAUGGUUGCCUAAUUUAUUCUCUGCACCAAGAGAAACUGGGUUGAAUCUGGAUGUGUCAGCUGCUGCCUAUUAUAUUUAACAUUAUUACCAUCUUGAUUUGCU
rnacentral:lncRNA from 1 species